UGACAGAUAGGAUCAUAACCUCUGAUACCUAUUGGUGGUGGUGAUGACAGAUAGGAUCAUAACCUCUGAUACCUAUUGGUGGUGAUGAUAGGAUCAUAACCUCUGAUACCUAUUGGUGAUGACAGAUAGGAUCAUAACCUCUGAUACCUAUUGGUGAUGACAGAUAGGAUCAUAACCUCUGCUACCUAUUGGUGGUGAUGACAGAUAUGAUCAUAACCCCAGAUACCUAUUGGUGGUGAUGACAGAUAGGACGUACCACUAUACUUGAAUGUACAAGGGUACAAGGGUAAUAAUCUCUAUUCCAAUGGUUGUCUAAGCUGACGUAGACAUAUAGCCCAGUCAGGCUUAAUCAAAACGUAUCACUAAUGUCUUAUUUGAGCCUUAUAAUAGAUGUAUUAUAAUAGAUCAGCAAUCUAAAGGGAGAAACAGUUGUUUAUAUAUAUAUUAUAGCUCAGUCAAGUGCCACAAUGUUCUCUCACCAUCUGGCGUGUCUGUGUUAAAACUACACAGAGGUCUUCUCUAUGGCCUUCUUGUGAGUGGGAUUUUGUCAUCUUCUCUUUCUACCAAUCCCCCCGUUCCCCCUUUCUUUGUGCAGACAUCGUUAUAUAACCAGGAUACGAGGGUUUUACUAAAUGAUUGCAUGUCUCCGUCCGGCUGUAUAUAUAUAUUUUCCGCUGCCACCCGAGACACACAUGCACAUACAUUCACAACCUCAAGCACAUGCAUGAAACUCAAACCCACACUAAUGCAAAGGGACAUCACACAACCCCCCCCCUACCCCAACACCACACACGUGUAACCUGAACACAU
rnacentral:lncRNA from 13 species